UACGGAGGGUGCAAGCGUUAUCCGGAUUCACUGGGUUUAAAGGGUGCGUAGGCGGGGCAGUAAGUCCGUGGUGAAAUCUCUGAGCUUAACUCAGAAACUGCCGUGGAUACUAUUUGCCUUGAAUAUUGUGGAGGUGAGCGGAAUAUGUCAUGUAGCGGUGAAAUGCUUAGAUAUGACAUAGAACACCAAUUGCGAAGGCAGCUCACUACACAAUCAUUGACGCUGAGGCACGAAAGCGUGGGGAGCAAACAGG
rnacentral:rRNA from 1 species